rnacentral:rRNA from 2 species
UGUUUCGGCUAGGGGGCCAUCCCGGCUUACCAACCCGAUGCAAACUGCGAAUACCGGAGAAUGUUAUCACGGGAGACACACGGCGGGUGCUAACGUCCGUCGUGAAGAGGGAAACAACCCAGACCGCCAGCUAAGGUCCCAAAGUCAUGGUUAAGUGGGAAACGAUGUGGGAAGGCCCAGACAGCCAGGAUGUUGGCUUAGAAGCAGCCAUCAUUUAAAGAAAGCGUAAUAGCUCACUGGUCGAGUCGGCCUGCGCGGAAGAUGUAACGGGGCUAAACCAUGCACCGAAGCUGCGGCAGCGACACUGUGUGUUGUUGGGUAGGGGAGCGUUCUGUAAGCCUGUGAAGGUGGCCUGUGAGGGUUGCUGGAGGUAUCAGAAGUGCGAAUGCUGACAUAAGUAACGAUAAAGCGGGUGAAAAGCCCGCUCGCCGGAAGACCAAGGGUUCCUGUCCAACGUUAAUCGGGGCAGGGUGAGUCGACCCCUAAGGCGAGGCCGA